rnacentral:lncRNA from 1 species
UGUGGUUCUGUGCUGUUCUCUGGGCUCUGCCACCAAAUACAGCAGCUGAGUGACCUAUCACUGAGAAAGACACAGUUCAUAAGACUAAGAGAGAAAGGUGAGGGUAAAGGGCCUUCUGUCGCUCCUGAGGGGGAAUCAGAGGAGAGAAUGAGGAAAACAGAUGGCUGUGAAUAAACAACCAGAGAAGAGCCUUGAGGUUGCUAGAUUCGGGUCAAGGUGUACGACUUCCCGUCCUGUGCUAGGGGCUAGGAAGACAAAGAGAAACAGAGUCACAUCCUCCCACAAAAAUCCAUGAGAUGUCGGAGAGCCGAACUUGUAAACAGCCAUCAUCAACACAAAGAAGGAUGCACUGAUGCUCUCUAGAGGCUCACAGGAAAUGAUUCAUGGGCAUAGAGGUGUGCAAUUUGCUUCCUGCCCCAGCCCUGACCCUGAGAUGCAGCAUGGAGGGAGUAGAGGGGUGGGGUUUGCGAAGUCACUUCCAGUCAUCGUGGGACCUUUAUGGAAACCUGGGCUCCACUCCACAGGAUGAGUCUCAACUGGAACCCUUGCCCAUUGGGCUCACUGUUCCAAUCUAAAGGGCAGGCUUUCCACUACUCUUUGGGACUUGUAGUUUGUGGGUUUUUUUCACAUGCACAUCAUCUUACUUACAGUUCCCCAAGAAUAAAAGCUUUCCAUCUCAAUUCUGGGCACUCUAAGUUUACCUGUAUUUCCUUUUCACUUUAAACAAAGGUAGUCAUAGGAGCCCGUCAUUUCCCAUGACUCAGGGAAUUGAGUUCAUGUUGCUUGCCUUGUGAGUGCUUACAGCCUGUAUGUCAUAGCAUUUAGAAAUGUCACUGAACCUAGGUUCGGCUGCUCGCUCCUUGAGAGCCAAACUGGAGACACAAGAGUUGGUCGGAGGAGAAGUAGGUUUAUGAGGAGCUGGCAACCUGAGGAGAUGGUGGGCUAGUGUCACAAAGACCAUCUCGAAUUUCUCAGGCUGGCCAGGGGUGUUAUGCGAGGGGGAGUCUGGGGGAAUUAUGUACAAGAGCUGAAUACAUGCUGGUCAGUCUGUCUAGUCUCAAUGACUGUCUUGAAUAAUGGGCCACCUGGUGGUCUGGCUGGCAUUAGCUUGAUUGCAACAGGAAUACAGAUGAACGGCUCAGCCUUCUUUCCAGAGUGGGAUGUUCUGCAACCUGGAUUCCAUGCUUAGCGUUUCAGGUCAGUCCCUGCAGUUCUUUAAGCAAAG